CCCAGCCCAUUCUACACCCCCUGCCCAACUUGCACCCCCUUCUCCCACUCCCAGUCCAUUCUACACCCUCUGCCCAACCUGCACCCCCUUCCCCACUCCCAGUCCAUUCUACACCCCCUGCCCAAACUGCACCCUCUUCUCCCACCCCCAGUUCAUUCUACAGCCCCUCCCUACCCUGCACCCUCCUUCCACCACCCCCAGUCCAUUCAACACCCCCUCCUCAACCUGCACCCCUUUCCCUGACCACAAAAUGCAUUCAGCCCCUCCCCUCCUGCCCAAACUGCCUCUCGUGUUUCUUUCUUAAGGAGGAGGAUGCAAGGUGGUAAUUUUCUGGCUACCUCUCAUGUGUUUCUCUCUUGUUGCUCUCUCGUAUUGGCCAAUACGUUCUGUCUGUCUGUUUCUGUCUAUGUCUUUGUCCUUGCUCUGCUUCUGCCGUGUCCUUGUACAGGACACUUGUAGGCAUUCCAGGUGAUCAUCUCCACGGGUUAAGGGCUCAGGAGCCAACGGGAAUUAUGCAGAGCAAAUAAAUGCGGGGCCAUAGCCGGAGAAGAAACGCUCCGAGAUGGACUUGAGCUGCCUGGCCGUGAUUCUCGGGACACAUGAAGGGUCUUCAGCGUUCGGCCUUCCCAUGGCUCUGUGUGAGUAAGAGCGAGCGAUAAGAAGUCAACCGUUCCGGUGUCGUCCUGUCUGGGGAUGGAAGGAAAACGAGAAUGGCGAGCUCUGGACCUUGGUGGAAGCGAGGCAAGAACCAUCUGGCUGGGAGCGGAGGAGCCAUUGCUGACACGGAGAUAAAUUUGGGGUCCGGAAAUCUCUCGGCUUACGGCCCGCUCAGUUCUAGGAAUGGAAGUGACGUUUGCUUAGAGAGCCAGUCCGAGCGGAGGUUCCCAAGGUGCUUCCUUGGUUGUGGGAGAAACAGGGCUCCCGUUUGUCAGGGGUGCUGGUUUCUCUGGAACACGGUGUCCUUCUCAGCAGACGCUUGGCUCGAGGAGGAAAAGGCAAGGUGGUAAGGUUUCUGGGUGUCUCUCGUGUGUUUCUCUCUUGUUUCUCUCUCGUAUUGGCCAAUACGUUCUGUCUGUCUGUUUCUGUCUAUGUCUUUGUCCUUGCUCUGCUUCUGCCGUGUCCUUGUACAGGACACUUGUAGGCAUUCCAGGUGAGCAUCUCCACGGGUUAAAGGCUCAGGAGCCAACGGGAAUUAUGCAGGUAAGCCAGUCACGCAAGGGAGAGCAAGGGAGAGCGGUGGUGCGUCAUGGCCGAGUGCCUGAGUGUUCUUGUAAAUGGCCCUUUACAGAAGGAAGAGGGGGAGAAAGGGCUAAAGGAUAGAAUUCUCGCGGGUGGAGAAUGAGAGCUCACGCUGGGCUUUUUCUGCCGCCCUUGCAGAGGAAUCAGUGCGGGGCCGUAGCCGGAGAAGAAACCCUCCGAGAUGGACUUGAGCUGCCUGGAAGUGAUUUUCGGGACACGUGAAGGGUCUUUAGCGUUCGGCCUUCCCAUGGCUCUGUGUGAGUAAGAGAUGCGUGCUUUGAAAUCUUCAAGCGUCCUGGCAGUGGGUUUCUUCUGAGGCAGAGAGCUUCCUGCUGGGGCUCGGAGCCUGGUGGCUUGGGGACUGGUGAAGGGGCAGUAGGCAGUUCAACAGUGCGUGGAUAGAUAUUCAAGGCCUCCGUUCUCUCCGCGUUCCUGGAGUGGCAGCGGGAGGGGGUGGCCGAUGGUGGGAGGAGAAGCGAU